CGAAUUUUUUUUUUUUAUUUUUCUUCUUCUUAUUUUGGAUGAUUGGGUGUGAGAAAAUGGUAUCACUUUUUAUGAGGAAAGCAUCAACAACUGAAUUAGAGGUUUUUUACCCAAUUAGGACAGAAUGCCAAGAAGAUGUACCCAAGACCCGUUUUAAGCUCGAGGCAGGGAAAACUCAAGCCCAAGAAGAUGGAAUGUUGCUUUCUCUGAAGAUGGUCAUCUCGAUAUAGCCAAAGUUCUUAGAAGGAUCCAAAGAGGGGGCGUUCAUCCUUCGAUUAAAGGAGCGGUAUGAGAAUUCUUGUUAGGUUGUUAUGAUCCAAAUAACACCUUGGAAGAGAAAAAUAUCCUUAGACAGCGCUAGAGGUAAGGUAUUUGUUAAACUGUAUUUUGGUCUUAAAAUAUGCUCCAAACAUCUGAAGGGGCUUUUUGUUAUGAUCCAAGAUAAUGUUCAAGUGGGGGGUUGGGUUCAUGUUGUAUCUGAUACUAUGCUGCAAUAUUUUCGGGUGUAGAAAGAGAUCGGUAUGGUGUGAUGCGGUUUGAAAAACUCUGCCUUGAUGGUUAAAUGCUUGCUUUACUUGCACCAUGGGAACUAAAGAUUACAUUUUUGCUGUCCUUAAAAAUUUUGCUCUACUUGAAUUACUACUUCAAUUGUCUCAACAGAAUUCUGUUUGUGUUUUCUAAAAUCAAUUGACAUGUGUAUUAUUGAUCUGGUGUGAUACUUUAUUGAUUGAUAUUCUAACUUGGUCUUUGGAAUUUGCCAUUGUAGGAUUAGAUGUGGCUCGAACAGAUUGAGCACUUGCCUUUUAUGAGAAGGAAGCUCAUAAAGGCAAACUUUGGGAUAUUCUAUUUGUUUAUGCUUGGUGAGACAAUGAUAUUGGGAUAUAUUGAAAUUAAUGUAAUUUUUUUUUAC